GUGAAAGCAAUGACUGGGCCGAGUAAUCCGGGUCCUGUGGAGUCAGCGAGUUGGGAGAUGGUGUGAGCCCAACCUCCGCAUCGGAUGAAAAUCCCCCAGGAGUAUCUCUUGAACCAUACAGUAGAGAUGAUCGGGUCAUUCCGUUAUCGAUGUUAUGAGUGAGAAUCAGGGAAGGCAGGCUUUAGUUCAUCAGGGGCAUUUUCAGCUAUCUUUUGAACAAAGGGCACUUUGUCUUCUUAGGUUCUAACAAGGGUGGUACCGCGAGUCAACUUCUCGUCCCUUCA
rnacentral:ncRNA from 1 species